AUCAACAAAUCCCAUCAGCUCCACACAACCACUCAAGACCACAGAAAACUUUAUGCCGCCUUGCCUCCAUCCUGCUCCUAUCCCUCUCCGAAUAUCUGUUAUCUUCCGCCACCACUCCUCCAGCAUCACAAAACCCUUGAUGACUCUGACCCUAAAAGCGAGUUAUACUUCCAGCUUCCAUCCGACUUCCCCUGUUCUCGUUAUUCACGAUGUCGAUCUCAUCGCUCUUUUCUCUUGCUAGCGUCAUAACAUCCUCACUGUUGUAGCAAGGUAGCGACAUACCUCAUCAUUUACUCCUUAGCACUUAGCAACACCGAAGAUGAUCCUCCUCGUACCUCCGGCCUCAACCUUUUCCUCCUUUCCAGCUCCACCUCGCCGGCAACCUCCUCCGACUUCGUCCUCUCUAAUGCUAGACCUCUAUCGCAGCUUCACUUUCGCCACUGCUUUAGCGACGUCGACUUCCUCCAGUAUUCCAUAGCAGCUUCACGUCGUCACUACACCAUCGUCUUCAUUAGCUUAUUGAUUAAUUUCAAUGAAGGAUAACAGCUCAGGAGACUGGGAUAAUGAAAUUUGAUGACUGGUACAAGGAAAUAGUUCAAGAAUACAUCAAUUUAAUGAAAACAAAAUCACUAUUUAUGCAUCAUGUUCCCUAGAUUAGUGGUAAUGUUGUCAUUGAUUAUUUUUUGAAGGUUUUGGUAAUGAGAUAGUUGAUAACUUUUUUCUUCAAUUCUUUAUAAAUUUACAUUAUUUUUUCAA